GGCAACCCGCUGAGGUCAAGCUUCGUUUUUUUUGCUUUUUACAAUAAGUGUUGCUACUGCUCAGUCUUUGAGUCCACGCUACUUUUAUGAGCUGUAACACUCACUACAAAGGUCUGCAGCUUCACUCUUGAAGCCAGCGAGACCACUGAGCUCACCGGGAGGAACAAACAACUCCGGACGCACUGUCUUAAGAGCUAUAACACCGCCAAGGUCUGCAUCUUCACUUCUGAGCCAGCGAGACCACGAACCCACCAGAAGGAAGAAACUCGGAACACAUCUGAAUAUCAGAAGGAACAGACUCCAGACGCGCCACCUCAAGAGCUGUAACACUCACGGCGAGGGUCCGCGGCUUCAUUCUUGAGGGCAAAAUCUUUUUCCCUUGAAGACUGGAAAUAUUAUCCAUGUUGUCCUCCGGAAUAUUUUCAAUGACUUGUGCCCUGCCAGCUCUAGCUUUUGAAGGGUCUACACUCAUCAUCAACAGAUUCUGGGGGUUCAUGCACAGAUUUCUUACCUGGGUAUAUUGUGUGAUGCUGAGCUUUGGAGUUCAACUGAUUUCAUCACCCAGCAACCAGCCCAGGAAGCCAGCCCAUUAUCCAGAGGAACCAACCAAGGAAGCCAGCCUGCUCUCUAGAAGCUAGACUUGUAGGAAGCCAGACCACUGUCUCUAGCAACUGAUCCAGGAAGACAGAAAAGAACACCUCAAUAACAGGACCAAAGUGGCCAGGACUUGACUGAUGAGUAACUGACAGCUUCCCUAAUUUUUGGCCCUACUUCCAACAGAAGAACAACCAGAGAAAGCCAAGUAUGCACCUGAUGCCCCACUUCCAGUGAGCCGCCUCCAGCUUCCCACGCCAACAGCUUCCAAUCAGCACACUUUCGGAGCCUUCCCUUUUCUCCACGAUGAAAGCUUCCCCACUCCUCUGACUGCCUUUGAGCCUCUGCCAAAACUCAAGUGAUGGUAGCCGACUCCCUGCUACCGCAAGCUUGGAAUAAACAGCCUUUGCUUUUCUCAUCUGCUUUGUCUUCGUUUAUUUCCACAAGAUCCUUCACAGUGAGAAGCUGCUUCCUCCCUUGGAGCCUUUCUAACCCUGCACCCUCUGCCUGGAAUGCUUCCUCCACCCUCCACGUGGUCAAACCUCUCCCUGUUUUCCAGAUUUCAACUUGUGAAUUGAAGACACCUUCUCUAACCACUCUGUAACCACUCCCUUCUCAGCCUCUUUUUUGGUUCCCUUACAGUGCGUGCCACAACUUGCAAUCAUUUCGUUUAUUUUUUUGGU
rnacentral:lncRNA from 1 species